rnacentral:rRNA from 1 species
CGAAGGGGCUAGCGUUGUUCGGAAUCACUGGGCGUAAAGCGCACGUAGGCGGACCAUUAAGUCAGGGGUGAAAGCCUGGAGCUCAACUCCAGAACUGCCUUUGAUACUGAUGGUCUCGAGUUCGGAAGAGGUUGGUGGAACUGCGAGUGUAGAGGUGAAAUUCGUAGAUAUUCGCAAGAACACCAGUGGCGAAGGCGGCCAACUGGUCCGAUACUGACGCUGAGGUGCGAAAGCGUGGGGGAGCAAACAGGAUU